rnacentral:rRNA from 1 species
GACGGAGGAUGCAAGCGUUAUCCGGAAUGAUUGGGCGUAAAGCGUCCGCAGGUGGCAGUUCAAGUCUGCUGUCAAAGACCGGGGCUUAACUUCGGAAAGGCAGUGGAAACUGAACAGCUAGAGUAUGGUGGGGGCAGAGGGAAUUCCUGGUGUAGCGGUGAAAUGCGUAGAGAUCCGGAAGAACACCGGUGGCGAAGGCGGCCUGCUGGGCUAUGGCUGACACUGAGGCGCGACAGCGUGGGGAGCAAAAAGG